ACACAGCUGUACAGAGACCCUCCCCCGGCAAAACAUCAAUUCUGUGGACAACUGUCUCCUCUUCCGUAGAGAACAGGCAGUUCAUGUUUAGUUGUUGAAGGAGUCAUAUUAAAAAUGUUUUUAUAACAAACUCCACAUGAGUAUGAAAAUGCAGAGCUAGCUGUUUUCAAAGGCUUUUCAUAUCACUGAUAAGUUGCACAGGAAGACGACAUGAGAGUCUGGACUCUCUUGGAGAAGUUUUGAAGGAAGCACUGACUGAGGCUACCAUGUGGCCACAGAAGCCCUUCCAGGCCAUGCAAUCUGUAUGCACUUCAAGUCACACCAGGGUGGGGUACUGUGAAGAACACGCAUCUCCUGUGUUGUGGCCUGGGUGUUCAAGGUAAGUCACGUGGCUCCCUUUAAUGUCACAGA
rnacentral:lncRNA from 1 species